rnacentral:rRNA from 1 species
UACGGAGGGGGCUAGCGUUGUUCGGAAUUACUGGGCGUAAAGCGCACGUAGGCGGAUUGGCAAGUUGGGGGUGAAAUCCCGGGGCUCAACCCCGGAACUGCCUCCAAAACUUCCAGUCUUGAGUCCGAGAGAGGUGAGUGGAAUUCCGAGUGUAGAGGUGAAAUUCGUAGAUAUUCGGAAGAACACCAGUGGCGAAGGCGGCUCACUGGACUGGUAUUGACGCUGAGGUGCGAAAGCGUGGGGAGCAAACAGG